rnacentral:rRNA from 1 species
AUUGAACGCUGGCGGCAGGCCUAACACAUGCAAGUCGAACGAGUGGCGGACGGGUGAGUAAUGUCUGGGAAACUGCCUGAUGGAGGGGGAUAACUACUGGAAACGGUAGCUAAUACCGCAUACCAUCGGAUGUGCCCAGAUGGGAUUAGCGAGUAGGUGGGGUAAAGGCUCACCUAGGCGACGAUCCCUAGCUGGUCUGAGAGGAUGACGAGGCAAACGGGAACUGAGACGCGGUUCAGACUGCUACGUGUGGCAGCAGGGGGGAAUAUUGCACAAUGGGCGGAAGCCUGCUGCAGACAUGCCGCGUGUUCGAAGAAGGCCUUCGGGUUGUAAGGUACUUUCAGCGGGGAGGCGUUACCCGCAGCUGAAGCACCGGCUAACUCCGUGCCUGCCGCCGCGGUAAUUC